rfam:Theobroma cacao cultivar Matina 1-6 chromosome 5, whole genome shotgun sequence.
AUCCCAUGAUGUGGACAUCUUCUUAAUAGUUCUUUAAACCUCUCCUAGACUUCGUACAAGGACUCACCAUCAAAUUGUGUGAAUGAGGUGAUAUCAUUCUUAUCUUU